rnacentral:rRNA from 1 species
GUGCCAGCAGCCGCGGUAAUUCCAGCUCCAAUAGCGUAUAUUAAAGUUGUUGUGGUUAAAAAGCUCGUAGUUGAACCUUGGGCCUGGCUGGCCGGUCCGCCUCACCGCGUGCACUGGUCCGGCCGGGCCUUUCCCUCUGUGGAACCCCAUACCCUUCACUGGGCGUGGCGGGGAAACAGGACAUUUACUUUGAAAAAAUUAGAGUGCUCCAGGCAGGCCUAUGCUCGAAUACAUUAGCAUGGAAUAAUAAAAUAGGACGCGCGGUUCUAUUUUGUUGGUUUAUAGGACCGCCGUAAUGAUUAAUAGGGACAGUCGGGGGCAUCAGUAUUCAACUGUCAGAGGUGAAAUUCUUGGAUCAGUUGAAGACUAACUACUGCGAAAGCAUUUGCCAAGGAUGUUUUCAUUAAUCAGGAACGAAAGUUAGGGGAUCGAAGACGAUCAGAUACCGUCGUAGUCUUAACCAUAAACUAUGCCGACUAGGGAUCGGACGGUGUUAUUCAUGACCCGUUCGGCACCUUACGAGAAAUCAAAGUGCUUGGGCUCCAGGGGGAGUAUGGUCGCAAGGCUGAAACUUAAAGAAAUUGACGGAAGGGCACCACCAGGGGUGAGCCUGCGGCUUAAUUUGACUCAACACGGGGAAACUCACCAGGUCCAGACACAAUAAGGAUUGACAGAUUGAGAGCUCUUUCUUGAUUUUGUGGGUGGUGGUGCAUGGCCGUUCUUAGUUGGUGGGGUGACUUGUCUGCUAAUUGCGAUAACGAACGAGACCUUAACUGCUAAAUAGCCCGCAUGCUCCGCAGUGCGCUGGCUCUAGAGGACUUCGCUCAGCGAGAGGUGAGCAAUAACAGUCUGGAUGCCCUAGAUGUUCUGGCGGAUGUGCUAACUGACUG